rnacentral:rRNA from 1 species
UUUCCGUAGGUGACCCUGCGGAA